GAUGAACGCUGGCGGCGUGCCUAAUACAUGCAAGUCGAGCGAACGGACGAGAAGCUUGCUUCUCUGAUGUUAGCGGCGGACGGGUGAGUAACACGUGGAUAACCUACCUAUAAGACUGGGAUAACUUCGGGAAACCGGAGCUAAUACCGGAUAAUAUUUUGAACCGCAUGGUUCAAAAGUGAAAGACGGUCUUGCUGUCACUUAUAGAUGGAUCCGCGCUGCAUUAGCUAGUUGGUAAGGUAACGGCUUACCAAGGCAACGAUGCAUAGCCGACCUGAGAGGGUGAUCGGCCACACUGGACCUGAGACACGGUCCAGACUCCUACGGGAGGCAGCAGUAGGGAAUCUUCCGCAAUGGGCGAAAGCCUGACGGAGCAACGCCGCGUGAGUGAUGAAGGUCUUCGGAUCAUAAAACUCUGUUAUUAGGGAAGAACAUAUGUGUAAGUAACUGUGCACAUCUUGACGGUACCUAAUCAGAAAGCCACGGCUAACUACGUG
rnacentral:rRNA from 1 species